ACACACACACACACACACACACACACACACACACACACACACACACACACACACACACACACACACACACACACACACGCACUAACACAUGCACGCACGCACUCUUCUGCUGCUUCCUCAUAGAGUCAUGUAUUUUUCAUAGGUUUUGUUAUAGAAGUCCUCCAACGUGUGUGCAUGUGAGUGAUUUAACUUAUGUAUGCAUCUUAUCACACAUCGCUGGACUACCCAGUUCAGAUUUUGCAAUUAGGUAUUUGUUUUUUUCUUGCACUCUUUUUCUUCUUUUUAGCCUUCUCUCUAUACCUUCAACUUUAAUUUCCAUUUUCCUUUCCUUCUUUUCGAAAAUUUCACAAAAACCCCUCUUAUCAUAAAAUAAACCCAGAGUCUCCUAAUUUCAAUUUGGCUAAAACCGCCCCCUACGUCACCAGGUUUUGUUUUUUCGUUCUGCUUUGACUACAACUCCCACAAUGCAUCGGGGGUGGUGCCUCGCCGUGCUUCUGGCUCUCCGGCUGCAGCGUACCACUACGAUCAGGCAACCAGCAGCAGCGAGCAACGCUUUCUCUCUCCCCCCCGACCUAAACAAUGACUACUACCAGCACCACUGAGCGGAGGUCGGGGAUCCAGUAGCAUGCGUAAAACACGGCACCAAAUCUCUCCAUUUCGCCGCUUUUCCAAACCGUUGACUUUAACGCGCCAGCUGUAAACAUGUGGAUACCCACUGAACACGAGAAAUACGGCGUCGUGGGCACAGAGGAUUCCUUCAGUUGAUUCAUCACUCUCCUUGGCUCCCCUGGCCCGCCUGUCAUUGAGGAGUCUGUGUGAACCAAAGCUACGACCAAUUAAUCGCCGGAGAGGACCUUGAGCUUCAACUCCCAAAUAAGUCACCCGACGCACCCGAGCUCCGCAUAUCAAGGCCUCUUCCUGGGCAUUGACCUCGCAUGCCUCCUCCCCUCCAUCUUUUCUUUCUGCGUUUCCUCUCCCCUUAAGACGCAACAGAGGAGAGACCAGAGAAAAAGAAACACGAGAAACGCACACCCCCUCGGCAUUCUCUCGCUGCAACAGUCCUCGCGCAGAGAAGACAAUCAAACCCGACUAUCUUAGAGGAAGUAGGACUUCCGUUGGUGAACCUCAGGGGAGCUCACCCUCCCUACGCCGGUCUCUCCCACCUGGUGUCUCCACGUCUCUCCCCAUAAACCAGCACUAAGCCCCA
ensembl:lncRNA